CCUACGGGAUGCACCAGUGGGGAAUAUUGCACAAUGGGCGCAAGCCUGAUGCAGCCAUGCCGCGUGUGUGAAGAAGGCCUUCGGGUUGUAAAGCACUUCCAGCGGGGAGGAAGGCGGUGAGGUUAAUAACCUCAUCGAUUGACGCUACCCGCAGAAGAAGCACCGGCUAACUCCGUGCCAGCAGCCGCGGUAAUACGGAGGGUGCAAGCGUUAAUCGGAAUUACUGGGCGUAAAGCGCACGCAGGCGGUCUGUCAAGUCGGAUGUGAAAUCCCCGGGCUCACCCUGGGAACUGCAUUCGAAACUGGCAGGCUAGAGUCUUGUAGAGGGGGGUAGAAUUCCAGGUGUAGCGGUGAAAUGCGUAGAGAUCUGGAGGAAUACCGGUGGCGAAGGCGGCCCCCUGGACAAAGACUGACGCACAGGUGCGAAAGCGUGGGGAGCAAACAGGAUUAGAUACCCGGGUAGUC
rnacentral:rRNA from 1 species